AUGAUCAAUGGAAAAAAUAAAAAAAU
rnacentral:tRNA from 1 species